rnacentral:tRNA from 1 species
GCAGGCGUAGUCUAGUGGUAAAACCUCAGCUUCCCAAGCUGAAGAUGCGGGUUCGAUUCCCGUCGCCUGCUCCA